CGUUUACAAGGAAGGUCUGAAUCCACGCUGUGCUUGCACAGAAGUGGAUGAAAGACCUUGGGACCCGCCCCGAUAUGAGCAUAAAAGUGGGAUGUACAUGGAAAUACCCGGAAAGAAGGGAAGCG
rnacentral:misc_RNA from 1 species